rnacentral:lncRNA from 1 species
GCAGAGCCGCGGUGGCGGGACCCCAGGCCUCAUGCUCAGCCUCUUCUUGCUGAGGGUGCACGCCCCCUCACAUCCAGGGGCUCCCACGCUAGUUCUGCCAUAUGAAACCCAGUCAGAAACAACAGUACCACCAGGCCCGUCCCUAAGACUUCCCACAGACGCCACUGUUCUCGCUCUCUGCUCACCCCACUGUCUGGAGGCAGAUGAUGGUAGACGCUGGAUGCAAGGAGCCUGCGACAGCCUCCCGUGAGCCGGCAGGGCUGUGACGGCAGCACCACGCUGUCGGUCUGUCGGAGUGGCCAGGUCCACCCGCUGGGCUCACGGCAACGUGAGCUGUCCCACCAACACUCAUCACAAUGGAGGGAGGUGGACUGAGUGGCUUCACUUUGCAAUUAACUCCACAAAGAAGGAAAACACUGCUCAGGAAGUUAAGGGAACUUUCUCUGGCCGUGACGCUUGUAGGCAUUGAUGCCAAGACCUCCACACUGAACACUUUGUGCUUCUGUGGAACCAUCCAAGAACAAACUGGCAGAGCCGCUGUAAUUCUCCAGCAGAGAUUUACUGGGCAGCAUUCCAGGUGCCAAGCGAGGACGGAAACAAGCACGCGAGCCAUGGAUCCCAAAGCAAUCAACAGUACUUCUUUAUUACUUGACUUUUCGGCACCGAGAGCUGGGCCGUUCGCUGUCACAGAGCCACCAAGCGUGCAGCCCACUGAGCAGCAGCAGCUCGUUCUGGACCAUCGCCGAGGAGGGCGCAUAAGUUCCGGCUGGAUGAGAAAGCUCGGGCCAGAGCAGGGGGUCAGGAGCUGGGCACCAUAUGAGGACAGUCAGCUGAGCUGUUGACCCCCAUAAAGUCGGGGUCAGAAGCCAGAUUGCAGCAAGCUGGAUACAUAUGUCUCAAUAAAUUGGAUUCUUUCAAAAACUUUAAAGUGAAAACAGAACAUGCAGAUCACUCAUAGUCGGUAGACUUUUGGCCAUUUCUAGAAAGAAGAGUCUGCACAGCAAAAGCAUGGAAGACCAGAGAAUGUCGGUGCCCCACACAGCAGCGGCCAGCUGCUCCAGUGUCGAGCGCCUGUCACACGCUGGGCAUCGAGGCCACAGGUGCCCGGCAGCGCCCCUACCGCAGACGACCUGACAGUGACCAGCCAGGCCCCUCCUUGCGCCAGACCCUGAGACGAGGGCCCUAGGGGACAGCAGAGCCGGCCCCCUGGAGAGGCUCUGCAGCCCUGCAGCCAGAGCCCCUCACGAAGACUGAGUGUCGACUUGCCGCGACAGCAGGUGACACCUGUGGCCCUGAAGGUCGGCAGUGGGCCGAGCCCGUGCUGAGGGUGGACGGCGUCGCCUCGUCAAUCCUGGAGCAGCCAGGCGGGGGGCCAUGUCCCAGCCCCCAGGUGCAUGCCAGGAGGGAUGGAGCGCUUUCCUCCUCUGUGGCGUUCCCCAGCUGCCCACUGGCAGGGUGAAGCCAGGCCUCCUGCCCAGACCCUGACCUCGGCACGGGUGUACCCCCUGCACAGUCCGCCUCCGGCUCUGACGGCCGGACAGCAGCGUGAACGAGUCUGUGCUUGUGACCCACGGCCGUCCCAGGCUGGCGCCUAGGAAGCCUGUCUUCUGGGGACGCGUCUGCUGAGACGAUGGAAACCAUUUCCCGGCUCUGCUUAUCGCCGAAUCCCAUUUGCAAAAAGUUUCCAUCGUCCGUUUCUUGAUACCAAAUCUCAGGAAACCGAGUAAGUAUUCAGUUUUCUGUCUUCUCAGCAGAUGCAACAAAACCAACAGCAGCUGUACCAGAAAUCUGGGGACUGAUUUUCUGGACUGGAUUCCGAAAUAUUUGCAACUGGGGACUGGGUGUUGCCAGACAUGGCCCAUAGAGUGAGUCAAUUAUCAGCCGUGAUGACCUAAAUCGACUCCGUGUGACAGCUCGUGCAGGCUGCUCCGGGGCAAACUCCCAGUUAGCGCCAUCACCUAGGACCCUGGUGGGUGUGGCCCCUCAGCGGCUCCAUCAUCCCCUCCCUCUGGUUCCAAAGGGACAGUGCGAGCCCGUCGGUGCCGAAGAAGCUCGCUGUCUCUGGACAUGAGCUGCUCUCCCCUUGAAAGCCGCUGCUUCCCCACCCCGCUGGCCUCACCCCCCUGCCUGAGAGCACCUGCCUUUAGCAUCUACAGAAAUCUACUGGGUCAAAAUAAAUAAUGAGCCGUUCUCUCACUUCAGAGCAGUCACUUCGGACGUCCAGCAGACGCUGGGCCCAUAGGACUCCGCAGGCCUUCCCGACAUGGACUCACACUCCAGGGUGGGAACAGCAAGACGUGAUGCCACAGGCGGGGCCAAGAUCUCAGGGCUGAGACCCCGAGUUCUCCGUGUGGCGGCUGGGACGGGGAGGUUUUCUCUGCGUGUGGAAGGCAGACUCUGCAGUCUGUUACUGCUUGUUCAGGAAUCACAGGGAAGAAACAGAGCUGGAUGUGGUUAUAAUGUCUAAGGGGCGACGAGUUGGCUAACAACUGUUCUGCUGCAAACCACG